UACGUAGGGUGCAAGCGUUGUCCGGAAUUAUUGGGCGUAAAGAGCUCGUAGGCGGUUUGUCGCGUCUGCUGUGAAAACUCGGGGCUUAACUCCGGGCCUGCAGUGGGUACGGGCAGACUAGAGUGCGGUAGGGGAGACUGGAAUUCCUGGUGUAGCGGUGAAAUGCGCAGAUAUCAGGAGGAACACCGGUGGCGAAGGCGGGUCUCUGGGCAGUAACUGACGCUGAUGAGCGAAAGCGUGGGGAGCGAACAGG
rnacentral:rRNA from 1 species